rnacentral:rRNA from 1 species
GACGAACGCUGGCGGCGUGCUUAACACAUGCAAGUCGAACGGAAAGGCCCUGCUUUUGUGGGGUGCUCGAGUGGCGAACGGGUGAGUAACACGUGAGUAACCUGCCCUUGACUUUGGGAUAACUUCAGGAAACUGGGGCUAAUACCGGAUAGGAGCUCCUGCUGCAUGGUGGGGGUUGGAAAGUUUCGGCGGUUGGGGAUGGACUCGCGGCUUAUCAGCUUGUUGGUGGGGUAGUGGCUUACCAAGGCUUUGACGGGUAGCCGGCCUGAGAGGGUGACCGGCCACAUUGGGACUGAGAUACGGCCCAGACUUCUACGGGAGGCAGCAGUGGGGAAUAUUGCACAAUGGGCGGAAGCCUGAUGCAGCGACGCCGGGUGCGGGAUGACGUCCUUCGGGUUGUAAACCGCUUUCGCCUGUGACGAAGCGUGAGUGACGGUAAUGGGUAAAGAAGCACCGGCUAACUACGUG